ACAACACCAGGACCGUCGGUCUACCGAGCAAUAUCACCUGCGCAGUGGAAGUUCUUCCUUUAGUCAU
rnacentral:pre_miRNA from 1 species